rnacentral:lncRNA from 10 species
GUUGAAUAAGAUGCCCUGUUUAUUGAUAGAUCUUAGUGGUUAUCAAUGAUGGAAGCAUCGCAGGGUGAUGUCUAGGUCCUAUGGACUCCUGAGGCUGAGUGAUCUCAAACUGCUCCAAUUCACUUCCUAUGACAGCCUGCAUCCUACCCACUCUCUCCAGUAGAAGAUGGGGUAGGGUAAGGGUCUUUCCUGGAUACAAAGGUGGCCCAGAAGUGGUCAUAAUACUCUCCCCUCCAUUUCCCUUCUUCUCAGACCUGUGCAGUGGAGGAGCAUCUGAAUAGGUAUGGGCUCUUGGGAUCUUCAAGGUGAGCAUGUUAGAAUCUGGGGUCUGGAGGCCACUUUCAUGGGAGGUGAGAACUGCUGGUCAUUUCCAGGCAUCUCCAACUCCAGCCCGCAGCCAUGGGGUAGAUGGCUAAUGGGACUAUGCAGAUCUGAUCAGUGUAAUGUCAAGAUCCAAAUAAACACCAAAUUUGUACAGAGUGAAGGUACUGAGAGUUAAAUUUCCCCUUCGUUGUAUGUUUCCUCCUGUCCUUUUAAAGCAUGGGAGCAAUGAUGAUAAGAAUUGGCAGUUGGAAUGAGGAAAGAGAGCGGCUGAGGGUCUCUGCUGUUUCCUUUCCUGCACAACUGAAACCUUGAUGUUUUCUGUGACCUAGUGAUGACCACGCCCAUCUUUGAACUAAAAACUCUAAAUUCUACAUCCUCAGAGCAAAGUGCAGAAUUGGAAAAAUUAUGGGAAUCCUUCAUGGCAUGUGGCUCUUCCAUCCGGGGGCCUCAGGAAAGGACUGGGGCUGCUUAUUGAGGCUUAUACACUCCUACCCAUUGCCAUAUAAUUUGCAGUGCCUGUCUGUCGGAGGAGUAUAUGCUUCUGUUCCACUGAGUCUGGCUUAAACUGGCUUUUCUACUUUUUGAAGCAUUGACACAUCCAAAGAAGAAAGCAAUUGCCUACCAAAAUGUUCAUGCUCCAUUCUCCACCCAUAGGACCAGCUUCAGGGUGUGUGAUCU